ensembl:processed_transcript
UGAGGAUUUUGUGUGCUGUUUAAAAUGAUGGCCAAAAUUCUUGUUUGGUUAAGAACCAGGUCUCCUGUUUAUUUUCUAGAGAAGAAUAUAUGUAUCACAGCUUCAUAUAACUCGAGGGUUAAAAUAAAAAAGAACUAAUACAAGGAUCAUAAUUGUAUAGAACCUAAUUAUGUUCAUAAUCUGUUCUCCUUUUCAUAUCUGUGUAUCUUUUCAAGCUGCAUUACCUAUCUAUUUCGAUCCUAUCUUUUAGUCCAAUCUAUUAGUCCAUGGCUAGCCUAGGGUUUUGGGUGCACAGUAGGCUCUGCAAGUAUAGUUCAUGUUCUUGGAUUCUUACUGCUUCUGCUUACUGAUAAAUGAAUUAUGCCUUACUCAAUAAUUAUACCCACAAUUAAUGACAGAAACAGUUUGUUCUGGGCAUGCUUAAUUAAUAUCUUUAAGAUGAAAAUUGAUCUGAUGACACACUGAAUCACCAAUGUUCCCUUAGACAUAUCUAAACCAUACAUAGUAAUAUACUCCAUUAGUUUUUAUAUCAAUCAUAUAAUCUGUUAUUAAUAUUUUACAAUAUCUGUGAAUGGACAGUAGUAAUGGCACUAUCAUAAAUAUAGAAAAAGCACAUUAUCAUUUCAAUUAAUGAGGCCAGAGUCCAGUCCAUUGAGGACCUUUUCUUGUGAGACAAGUCGAUAGUUAAUGCCAUCCUUCAUGAGUUAAUGCCAUCCUACAUGAGUGUAGGAGCGGCACAUCUUUUGCCAUGGUGACUUCAUCUAUUUACUUAGACUCAUUAUAGUAAUAGUUUUGCGGUGUUUCCUUAAAGUUGCAGAAACAAAGCAUCCUAUAUGCAACCAGACAUCUCCAUUCUGUUUUCACUGGCCCCCACUUCUGUGGGCUAAGACACAGGUGUGUCCUUGGGACUUGAUAGUCAUUCACCUGAGCUUGAAAAAGGCCACAUCUCCUGAGAAACACAUGAAGUUGACAUCUGACUUCCAUACAUAUGGAGAGAGAGUAAAGAUUUUAUGGUGAAAUAAUGUAACAUUCAUUACAUAAAUAAUUUUUAAGUGACAGUUGAUUUAUCUUCCACUGUCUUACUAAGACUUUGGAGUUAUGUCCAAUAUACAAGUUCAUGCUAAUGUCACAGUGGAUUUAGUAAGACUUAAAUGACUAUAGAAAGAGCAUUCAUUCCUGUAACCUGUGUUUUCCCACAGAAUGGACUUACAAUGGCUGAUGUACUAUUUAGUGGUACAGGUUCUAACGUUUUAUAUUGUGGACAUGGGAUACCCAGACUGAGGUUCGUGGAUUUUUGAAAUAACCAGUAAUAAGAUAUUUGUGACUCAAUUUUGAGUGAAUGAACUUGAUUUAUUAUGAUUAUAUUGUUCAGUUAGUCUGUAAGUAAAUAU